rnacentral:rRNA from 1 species
UACGUAGGGUGCGAGCGUUGUCCGGAAUUAUUGGGCGUAAAGAGCUCGUAGGCGGUUUGUCGCGUCGGCCGUGAAAUCUCCACGCUUAACGUGGAGCGUGCGGUCGAUACGGGCAGACUUGAGUUCGGUAGGGGAGACUGGAAUUCCUGGUGUAGCGGUGAAAUGCGCAGAUAUCAGGAGGAACACCGGUGGCGAAGGCGGGUCUCUGGGCCGAUACUGACGCUGAGGAGCGAAAGCGUGGGGAGCGAACAGGAUUAGAUACCCUGGUAGUCCACGCUGUAAACGUUGGGCGCUAGGUGUGGGCGACAUCCACGUUGUCCGUGCCGUAGCUAACGCAUUAAGCGCCCCGCCUGGGGAGUACGGCCGCAAGGCUAAA